CUUAUGUUAAGAGGCUAUAUCGUUCGAAGAAAUGAUAACCAAAGUAGAAUAGUUCCAACGGCUACAAUGUUAUCUAAUUAAUCUUCCUGGGAACAACUUGAUUAAGUCGAGCAGAAAAUGUUAACUUUUAGAAGUCCUUUUUUCAUGUGUACUUUGAUUUUUUCAAAACAGCUGUGUGUUAAUUUUUGUUUUUUGUUAAAAGAAAUAAAAAAAUGUGAAGUGGUUUGUAGGUCUAUUACGAUUAUUCUGAAUGCCUCUAUUUUUGAUGGCUGUUUCGAAAACAGAUGCGAGGACAGAGUGACCAUUACUAUUCAAAUAUUGACAAUUACAAAGGAGACACGAAAACUGGAUAACAAUGAUGAAAAUCGUGAAUUUUGCCUCUUGAAAUUCAAUUUGCCAAUAUAUCGAUGGAAUUAAAAAAAGUCGAAAAAACACAAGCAGUCGUUGAUUCCUCCAUAAACCACCGUGUUAAAUAAUGCAGCAUUGAAGACAAAAGACGACGCAAUUUUAAAUCGAAAAAUUUCGCUGUGAAAUAUUUCUUGACUCCGAUUGGAGUUAACUUUUUCCGAACUAGUUUUGAGGCCUGGGACGGCUCUUGAGGAAUAAGGAAGUACGUGCAUGCUAGAAAACAAGCAGGAAGCUCCAACGCAUUCGCGUCGGAAAGCGGCUCUGGCGACGGUAGGUAGUUGUUACGCGUUUACGGUUUCCUUGGUAACCUUUGUUUGCUAUCAGCU